rnacentral:rRNA from 1 species
UACGUAGGGGGCUAGCGUUGUCCGGAUUUAUUGGGCGUAAAGAGCGUGUAGGCGGCCAGGUAGGUCUGCUGUGAAAACUCGAGGCUCAACCUCGAGACGUCGGCGGAAACCAUCUGGCUAGAGUCCGGAAGAGGAGAGUGGAAUUCCUGGUGUGGCGGUGAAAUGCGCAGAUAUCAGGAAGAACACCCGUGGCGAAGGCGGGCUACUGGGCCGAUACUGACGCUGAGGCGCGAAAGCCAGGGGAGCAAACGGG